rnacentral:rRNA from 1 species
UACGAAGGGGGCUAGCGUUGCUCGGAAUCACUGGGCGUAAAGCGCACGUAGGCGGAUUCCUAAGUCGGGGGUGAAAUCCUGGAGCUCAACUCCAGAACUGCCUCCGAUACUGAGAGUCUUCGAGUCCGGGAGAGGUGAGUGGAACUGCGAGUGUAGAGGUGAAAUUCGUAGAUAUUCGCAAGAACACCAGUGGCGAAGGCGGCUCACUGGCCCGGUACUGACGCUGAGGUGCGAAAGCGUGGGGAGCAAACAGG